rnacentral:misc_RNA from 1 species
AAGUCGUAACAAGGUUUCCGUAGGUGAACCUGCGGAAGGAUCAUUACUGAAUUUUGAGAGUUGAGCUGGUGUUUUCGGACGCAUGUGCUCGCUUUCUAUUCAUCUUACCACCUGUGAACCAUUUGUAGACUGUGGAUUAGUUCUCAACUAGCAAUAGUUGGAUUGAGGGAUUGCUUAACCGCUUCCCUUGCGUCCCAGUCUAUGUCUUAUCUCAUUUACUCUGUAUGUUUUGAAUGUCAAUUUAUGGGUCUUUGAACCUAUAGAACUUAAUACAACUUUCAACAACGGAUCUCUUGGCUCUC